AUGUUAUUGCCGCGCCGUUAUGUUACGCUACAUUUCUGUUUUGUCAUCCGUUCUUUUUACACAACAACAAAUAAUGUUAUUCAAACAGUAAACUAACUGGGGGCACGUAACGCUGAUGUUUUUGUUGUAUGCGCAGCGCACUUGAGUAUUGUUGUCAUUGUUUUUGUUGUCGCACCGUUCUACAUGUGCAUCUGCUCGCUCGCACUUGUUGGUGUGACUUUUCCCCAAUUGUGUAUGUUUGUUCCGUUCGCGUUCGUUCAUUGAUUUCCUAAUUAAGUUUAUAAUUAAAAUUAAUUGAAAAAUUACCCACAUAUGUAUGUACAUAUGCAUGUACAUAGGAAAAUGUUAAGUGGCGCGCGCGUGUUGUAAUAUCGAAAAUUAAGUGCCUGUGUCUAUUAAUUCGGAAUGAAUGCACGUUAAAAAUUUAAAUACGAAAUUGUGCCAAAAACAUCAGCGCCAGCCAAAAAGGUGGUCCCGCAAAAUACAACCGUGUGGCAACUCUAGGCAAAUGAACUGUUUUACCUGCACACAUACAAACGCGUAUUCAACACAGAACGGAUAAUUUAGUGGAAUUUUCGAAAAUAGCAAAGGAAAGGCAACCAUAAUCCUCAAGAGCAGCAGCCGCAGCGGCUGUGGCAGCUCCAACAACAACGCUGGCAUAAUAAUCAAAGAUUAAAUCAGGUUUAUAUGGAAGGGUUAAAAAGAGCAAAAGCAGCCUGUCACAGGAAGAAAUACACGUUUCCUAGUCGCUAAGGCACAUAUACAACAACUACAACAACAACAGCAAUAACUACAACGAACAACUGAUUUUGAUUACAACUACAAGGAGCGCGCGCUACACACAAGCACACGUUCACACUCACACACACACACGUGAGAGCGUGAGAGAGAGAGAGAACGGUCUGUGAGCUGGUAAGAGAGAAAGCAUGCACAGAUUAACAAACGCGCUCAUAUUUGCGCUCAGUUCUCAUUCGAGUGCGGUACGGUUACGUCGCGUUGCUGUACGAGGCAGCGGUGAAAAUACAACAUAAGAUUUUCCGUUUUCCGCUAGGCGAUGGCACAGCACAACGUAUGGGCGGCAUUUGUUUUGAAAGCAAAGUAAAAGGAAAACGAAAUAUAAACCCAACGUCGCGACCGCACCUCGACAAUAACUUUUGUUUGUGAUUGUAUAUGUGAGUGUGUGUGUUUUGAAACGAAUAUGUGACGAAAAAGGAAACAAAGUCAAGUGAAAAUAGUGCAAAAAUAUACAGAAAAAAAAAAGAAUUAUAAUAAUAAAAUAGCCAAAAGACAGCCCAGACCGCAGAGCAGAGACCAGUUUGAAAUCGCCGCCUAUUUGCAGGGCAAUACAUGCGCCACCGUCGCCGUUGGCAGAAGCAGUGCAUGUGCUAUGUGUUUAUACGUGUGCGAAAGAGCUGGCAAUAGUUUUUAGUGUGGAGCAGGGGCAGUGGCAGUGGCAGGCAAUUGAACCAACA